ACCCCUACGGGAGGCAGCAGUGGGGAAUCUUGGACAAUGGGGGCAACCCUGAUCCAGCCAUGCCGCGUGAACGAUGAAGGCCUUAGGGUUGUAAAGUUCUUUCACCGGGGAAGAUAAUGACGGUAGCAGGUAAAGAAACCCCGGCUAACUCCGUGCCAGCAGCCGCGGUAA
rnacentral:rRNA from 1 species